rnacentral:rRNA from 1 species
CCUACGGGGGGCUGCAGUGGGGAAUAUUGGACAAUGGGCGAAAGCCUGAUCCAGCCAUGCCGCGUGUGUGAAGAAGGCCUUCGGGUUGUAAAGCACUUUCAGUGGGGAAGAAAGCCUUGGGGCUAAUACCCUCGAGGAAGGACAUCACCCACAGAAGAAGCACCGGCUAACUCCGUGCCAGCAGCCGCGGUAAUACGGAGGGUGCGAGCGUUAAUCGGAAUUACUGGGCGUAAAGCGCGCGUAGGCGGUCUGAUAAGCCGGUUGUGAAAGCCCCGGGCUCAACCUGGGAACGGCAUCCGGAACUGUCAGGCUAGAGUGCAGGAGAGGAAGGUAGAAUUCCCGGUGUAGCGGUGAAAGGCGUAGAGAUCGGGAGGAAUACCAGUGGCGAAGGCGGCCUUCUGGACUGACACUGACGCUGAGGUGCGAAAGCGUGGGUAGCAAACAGGAUUAGAUACCCUAGUAGUC